rnacentral:rRNA from 1 species
UACGGGGGGGGCAAGCGUUGUUCGGAUUCAUUGGGCGUAAAGGGUGCGUAGGCGGCGCUGUAAGUCGGGUGUGAAAUUUCGGAGCUUAACUCCGAACCUGCAUUCGAUACUGCGGUGCUUGAGGACUGGAGAGGAGACUGGAAUUCAUGGUGUAGCAGUGAAAUGCGUAGAGAUCAUGAGGAAGACCAGUGGCGAAGGCGGGUCUCUGGACAGUUCCUGACACUGAGGCACGAAGGCCAGGGGAGCACACGGG